GACGAACGCUGGCGGCGUGCUUAACACAUGCAAGUCUACGAGAAUAAGGUAGCAAUAUCUUUAGUAAAGUGGCGCACGGGUGAGUAACACGUAAGUAACCUACCUUUAGAUUUGGAAUAACCCCGAGAAAUCGGGGCUAAUACCGAAUGAUGCAGCGGCACCACAUGGUGAUGUUGUUAAAGUCUAUAUGACGUCUAAAGAUGGGCUUGCGUCUGAUUAGCUAGUUGGUGAGGUAACGGCCCACCAAGGCUACGAUCAGUAGCUGGUCUGAGAGGAUGAUCAGCCACACUGGAACUGAGACACGGUCCAGACUCCUACGGGAGGCAGCAGUGAGGAAUAUUGGGCAAUGCCCGAAAGGGUGACCCAGCAACGCCGCGUGGAGGAUGAAUGCCGUAAGGUUGUAAACUCCUGUUAGAGGGGAAGAAUAAUUCCGAUCGACUCGGAAAUUGACUGUACCCUCAGAGAAAGCCCCGGCUAACUACGUGCCAGCAGCCGCCGUAAAAC
rnacentral:rRNA from 1 species